rnacentral:rRNA from 1 species
UAAUCUGGUUGAUCCUGCCAGUAGUCAUAUGCUUGUCUCAAAGAUUAAGCCAUGCAUGUCUAAGUAUAAGCUUUUAUACAGUGAGACUGCGAAUGGCUCAUUAAAACAGUUAUAGUUUAUUUGCUAUUCGUUUAUAUGGAUAACCGUAGUAAUUCUAGAGCUAAUACAUGCAUUAUUCGCGACUCACGAAGCGUAGUAUUUAUUAGAUAAGCACCACGGGCUUCGGCUUGUGUGAGGAAUCAUAAUAACUGAGCGAACUACCAUCGGUAGUGAAGCAUUCAAGUUUCUGCCCUAUCAGCUUUCGAUGGUAGUGUAUUGGACUACCAUGGCGUUGACGGGUAACGGAGGAUUAGGGUUCGAUUCCGGAGAGGGAGCCUGGGAAACGGCUACCACAUCUAAGGAUGGCAGCAGGCGCGCAAAUUACCCAAUCCUAACUCAGGGAGGUAGUGACAAGAAAUAACAACUUCGGGCUUGCCCGAGAUUGGAAUGAGUACAACGUACAAUCUUUAACGAGUACCAACUGGAGGGCAAGUCUGGUGCCAGCAGCCGCGGUAAUUCCAGCUCCAGUAGCGUAUACUAAAGUUGUUGCAGUUAAAAAGCUCGUAGUUGAAUUUCUGUGUAGUGUACUUGCGGUCUCCGGACCAAUAUAUACUGCACAUCCAUCUGAACAGCACUUCUUGUCAUUCAUUUGUCGGUUGUGUGAUCAGAUACUUUACCUUGAGAAAAAUAGAGUGUUCCAAGCAGGCGUCCGCCUGAAUAAUAAAGCAUGGAAUAAUACAAUAGGACUGGGUUCUAUUGGUGCAUAGAACUUAGUAAUGAUUAAUAGGGACAGUUGGGGGCAUUUGUAUUUAAUUGUCAGAGGUGAAAUUCUUUGAUUUAUUAAAGACAAACCUAUGCGAAAGCAUUUGCCAAGGAUGUUUUCAUUAAUCAAGAACGAAAGUUAAGGGAUCGAAGACGAUCAGAUACCGUCGUAGUCUUAACCAUAAACUAUGCCGACUAGAGAUUGGAGGUGCAAUCUCAAUACUCCUUCAGCAUCUUAGGAGAAAUCAAAGUCUUUGGGUUCUGGGGGUAGUAUGGUCGCAAGACUGAAACUUAAAGGAAUUGACGGAAGGGCACCACAAGGUGUGGAGCCUGCGGCUUAAUUUGACUCAACACGGGGAAACUUACCAGGUCCAGACAUGGGAAGGAUUGACAGAUUGGAGAUCUUUCUUGAUUCCAUGGAUGGUGGUGCAUGGCCGUUCUUAGUUGGUGGAGUGAUUUGUCAGGUUAAUUCCGAUAACGAACGAGACCUCAACCU